AGUGAACGCUGGCGGUAGGCCUAACACAUGCAAGUCGAACGGCAGCACAGUAAGAGCUUGCUCUUACGGGUGGCGAGUGGCGGACGGUGAGGAAUACAUCGGAAUCUACUUUUUCGUGGGGGAUAACGUAGGGAAACUUACGCUAAUACCGCAUACGACCUACGGGUGAAAGCAGGGGAUCUUCGGACCUUGCGCGGUUGAAUGAGGCGAUGUCGGAUUAGCUAGUUGGCGGGGUAAAGGCCCACCAAGGCGACGAUCCGUAGCUGGUCUGAGAGGAUGAUCAGCCACACUGGAACUGAGACACGGUCCAGACUCCUACGGGAGGCAGCAGUGGGGAAUAUUGGACAAUGGGCGCAAGCCUGAUCCAGCCAUACCGCGUGGGUGAAGAAGGCCUUCGGGUUGUAAAGCCCUUUUGUUGGGAAAGAAAAGCAGCAGGUUAAUACCCCGCUGUUCUGACGGUACCCAAAGAAUAAGCACCGGCUAACUUCGUG
rnacentral:rRNA from 1 species